rnacentral:rRNA from 1 species
CGGGUGCGUAACGCGUAUGCAACCUACCUUAUGCAGAGGGAUAGCCCAUGGAAACGUGGAUUAAUACCUCAUAGUAUCAUUAUUCUGCAUGGAAUUAUGAUUAAAACUUCGGUGGCAUAAGAUGGGCAUGCGUAGGAUUAGCUAGUUGGUGAGGUAAUGGCUCACCAAGGCUACGAUCCUUAGGGGUCCUGAGAGGGUUAUCCCCCACACUGGUACUGAGACACGGACCAG